AAGCGAUUUAUUUGUGUAGCUCAUUAUACAUGCAGAUUCCGAUGUUUACGUAAACAUCGGAAUCUGCAUGUAUAAUGAGCUACACAAAUAAAUC
rnacentral:miRNA from 1 species